AGUGAACGCUGGCGGUAGGCCUAACACAUGCAAGUCGAACGGCAGCACAGUAAGAGCUUGCUCUUACGGGUGGCGAGUGGCGGACGGGUGAGGAAUACAUCGGAAUCUACUUUUUCGUGGGGGAUAACGUAGGGAAACUUACGCUGAUACCGCAUACGACCUACGGGUGAAAGCAGGGGAUCUUCGGACCUUGCGCGAUUGAAUGAGCCGAUGUCGGAUUAGCUAGUUGGCGGGGUAAAGGCCCACCAAGGCGACGAUCCGUAGCUGGUCUGAGAGGAUGAUCAGCCAGACUGUAACUGAGACACGGUCCAGACUCCUACGGGAGGCAGCAGUGGGGAAUAUUGGACAAUGGGCGCAAGCCUGAUCCAGCAAUACCGCGUGGAUGAAGAAGGCCUUCGGGUGGUAAAGCCCUUUUGUUGGGAAAGAAAAGCAGCAGGUUAAUACCCCGCUGUUCUGACGGUACCCAAAGAAUAAGCACCGGCUAACUUCGUG
rnacentral:rRNA from 1 species